AAAACGGUAAAACAUAGGAAAACGGGAAAAUAGGUGUAAUAUUAAACAAUUAUGAAAAAAAUGUUUAAUGCAAAUAAUUAUUAUUUUACAUUAAUAUGGCAUAUUAUAUAUUGUUGACAAAGCAAUAUUAUCAACCAUACUCCGCUCAGAAUUGUUUUUUCAUUAGCAAUGAUUUAUCGUUGCUUACAGAUAUACAUUAAAUUUCCCCCUAUACUAUCUUCCCAACUUUUCACCCUUAACAGUAGCUGCACCCAUCCCCAUUAUCCUAGGACAAUUUUUUUUUCAAGUUACAACACUUUUUCUUAGGAGUAUAGUGGAUAUAUACUUAUACAAAAAAAUACCUAAAAAUUAGAUGGAAGCAGAACCUGUCAAUCACAUUUGUUUCAUAAUUUUCAAGGAUAAAACGUUAAAAUCCAUUAUAUUAAUAUAGCUUUA